UACGUAGGGGGCAAGCGUUGUCCGGAAUCAUUGGGCGUAAAGCGCGUGUAGGCGGCCAGAUAAGUCCGCUGUGAAAACUCGAGGCUCAACUUCGAGCUGUCGGUGGAAACUUUCUGGCUAGAGUCCGGAAGAGGAGAAUGGAAUUCCUGGUGUAGCGGUGAAAUGCGCAGAUAUCAGGAAGAACACCCGUGGCGAAGGCGGUUCUCUGGAACGGUACUGACGCUGAGACGCGAAAGCGUGGGGAGCGAACAGG
rnacentral:rRNA from 1 species